UUGAUACAAUGAUGACCGCAUAGUUCAGCAGACUUGUGUGUGAAGACAUCUUUCGCUCCUAUCUGAUGUGUACC
rnacentral:snoRNA from 1 species